UACGGAGGGUGCUAGCGUUGUUCGGAAUGACUGGGCGUAAAGGGCGCGUAGGCGGCCGCUUGCGUCGGAUGUGAAAGCCCGGGGCUCAACCCCGGAACGGCAUCCGAUACGGGGCGGCUCGAGACCGAGAGAGGUGAGUGGAAUACCCAGUGUAGAGGUGAAAUUCGUAGAUAUUGGGUGGAACACCGGUGGCGAAAGCGGCUCACUGGCUCGGUUCUGACGCUGAGGCGCGAAAGCGUGGGGAGCAAACAGG
rnacentral:rRNA from 1 species